UGAAUACGAUGCAGCCAUUUAGUUUGCCCUGGAGACACUUCAAACACUCAUACAACCACAAGGACUGGCUGUCCAACCGCUACUGUGGCUCCACCCCCAAAUAACAAGAAAACUGUCGCUUCUAGUUCCAGCAAGGACAGGAUAUACAUGGACUUCAUUCAUAGGCAUCACUAUAGAAGAACUCCAGAUCAGAAUAGAAAGAAGCACAAUAUACCUGACAGGAACACAUGUAGUCUUCUGAUGGAAGCAUGCAUUUUACACUAUUUCACAGGUGUAAGACCUCUGAAGGUUUUAUCUCUGAAGUUCCUUUGAUUCAUGCCCAUAAAUGGACAUACCAAAAGCCACCACAUUCUCACAGUGUUUUUCAGCCUGCCUGGAACCAGGAAAUACCAGGAAUUUCUUCAAGGAACCUGUUCCCAAACUGUACUAAAGCCUUCAACACAUUUAGUGUUUGAACAAGGUUUAGAAGCAUGACUAAGGUCCCAUCUCCGCUGCACGGUCCAGCAUUGCUCCUGCAUCAGAGGACAACUGUUUGCAGUCCUUGUUGCUAGCCCUGGCUGUUUUAAGCUCUUCUCUGUGCUGGUCUGAGCUCACACCCUCAGAACAGUGAAUUUGGGAUGAUUCUGAAAAAUCUUCCCCUCUCCCCGCCCUAGAACCUCUGACUGCAUAUUGUGGCAGCAUUCCUCAGCUUCUCUCUGUUAUUGGGGCAGUGCCAAAUGCAGGAGUAUUUACACUUGCUUCAUGGUAAGUAAAUCCAACCCUAAUGGUAGUAUAAUAGUGUUUAUGCUGUGAGGAACAAAGCAUUUUACAGCCUCCUGAGCAGGACCAAAAGGUUGCUAACGUGGUACUACAGUGUAAACACAACCCAGUGGUGCCUCCAUUCAUACUCUGCCCCAUUAAUUGGGGCACUGAAAGAAAUGCACGAUCCAGAGAAACGUUUGUUGUUUUAAAUUAGUCCUAUUAAAAGCAGGUAUUUACAGCUUUCAGCAGCUAUGAAAUAUGUUUUCCUGCUCCUGAGCUAAAUGCUAAGAACCAGCUUUUCAUCCAGUUUUCGGGACAUAGGUCAGUCUAGUUAAUUGGUACAACUGCAGUCACAGGAGUUUAGGUCACCUGUGGCCCAAAGUCCUGAGGCUGUACAAAUUUAGGGGAACUGCACAGGGCUGUGUGCAUGGGAGGGCUCCCAAGAGGAUACAGGCUGGCUGCUGUGGCAUCAGCUGGGCAAUAAGCACUUGCAGGAGCAGAAAUUGCACAGAAAAGUAUCCUGUAAACAGCAAAAAGUACAACCUACUUAGGGGACCCAGUGUCUCUGGCAAGUGAAUGGAAUGGACAAGGAUUAAAACUGAUAAAAUACUCUUCAAGCUUUAGACAAUAUAACAUCUGGGAAGGCAUUAGAUAUGAACUUAAUACACUGUGAUAUGCUACACAUUUCUUAAAUCAUGCAAUUAAAAAAAACCCUCUUUAUUCUUAACCAAAGAAGAGAUUCGAUGUCUUCUGAUGAGAGAUCAUGGA